ACACGUGACAUAUAACUUAUAAAAACUGAUCACCAGGUAAUGGAUCUUUAAAUUAAGAUGGUAUAUAAAGGUUGAAUUUUUGUGGAAUAAACUUAAGGUUGAAUUUUUUUAGAGAAAAAAGUGCAAAGAUUGGAUUUUUAAUUUCUAUUUUUCCAAAUUAAAAAGAAUAAAAAAAAAAAAAAAAAAAAACUCUAAUUAUCAAUAUUCCCAAACACGGCAUUUAUAUACUCGUAUGAGUCGUAUCUAACUAUUGUUAUUCAUCUCGCAAUCAAUCCAAACAAUUCCUUUUCCCCCAUUCCUUCAACUUGCGAAAUCUGUCCCGAACCCUAAUUCUCCCAAACCCAAAUCGAAACCCUAGAAAUUCCUCCAUUAAUGGCGAGCGAUUCCCAUGAUUCUCAUCGAAAGCACAGCCGUUCUUCCUCCAAUGACGAUUCGCCGGAGAAAUCGAAGCGCCACAAGCACCGCCAUCACCGCCACCACCGCCGCCAUCGCCACCACCACCGCCAUAGCAGCUCGAAGCAUGGAGAUGCGAAGAAAGAUGAAAUUGAGGUUGUGAAUAGAGAGGAAGUAGUUGAAGAGGUGACGAAACCAGCUCCUCUUGUUGAUUAUGAUGAUAUGGAGGAAGGUGAGAUUGUUGAUGAUGAAGGUGUUCCUGGUGCUGAAGUCGAUUCUUUCGAUAAGAAGGUUGGGUCCGAUGUCGAAUCAGGUGAAUUUAAGGCCGGUGAUGAUUCUUACAUGAGUGUUGAUACUGAUUUAGAAAAUCCUGAAAGCAAUCAUAAUGUGACGCGGAAUGAUAAAAGUGGGAAGUCUAAGAAGUAUUUGAAGUCUCCUAGAAGUGAUCGCAGUGGUAGUGAGGGCAAGGAAGACGGGAGUCACUCUCAUCAUGACGAAUUUCCUGUGUCAGAUAGGGUGGCUAAUGGUGAUCUUACUCGCAGGUCUAGAAAGGGAGAAUCUAGGUCACAUACAGGACAUGAGUCUCCUUUAAAAGAAAGAAGCAAGGAGAAGGACCAUGUAAGGACCAAAAGCAAACAUGCCUUGGAAUUAAUGGAGGUGGAUGAAGAUGAUCUUAGAGGUAGAAGAGAUUCAUAUUCUCUUAAGGUUAGGGAUGACCGCCAUGAAGCAAGGUAUCGCUCCCCUUCUCAUGGAAGGUACCAUCUAGAGACUAGUGAUAGGAGCAGGUCUAAAUCUCCUGAUCGCAAGAAGGAAAGGGAACGUUCGCAGAGCAUUGCGCACGAGAGGUAUUCAAAAACAAGGCAUCACAAUGAAAGAGAUGAAAAGCUAUAUGAUAAUGGCAAGGUUGGUUAUGAGAUGGAUGGUGAAAAGGAUAGUCGUGCAGGUAAAGAUUACAGAUCUAAUGGUGGAGAAAAGGUUAAGGAUAAAGGAGGAGAGAGAAGUUCCAGCUAUCACAGGUCUAGUUUGCAUGAAGGAAAGCAUGAAGAUGGUGAUUCUAAGGACAAUGAGACAGAGGAGAAGAUGUACCGGGAUAAGAAACGAGUGGAGCCAGAGCCAAUAAAAGAGAGGAGCGAAAGGGAUCGUGAUAGGAUCCGGAGCAGAGAUUAUGAACGGGAGAGGGAUUUUGUGAGGGACAGAGAGAUUCAUAGAGAGGUAAAGAAUGAUAUUGAUCGGAAUAGAGAUCGUGGUGGGAGCAGGGACAGGGACCAAGAAAGGGAUAGAGAAAGAGAAAGGAGAAGGGAGAAAGAUCGUGGAAGGAGUCGGGACAGGGACCUUGGCAGGGAAAGGAGGAGAGAUGAUAGCACAUCCAUGUAUAAAGAUAGAGAUGCUGAGAGAGAACGUGAUAAGGAAAGGGACAGGUCUCGAAAGUCGGAGAUGGAUAGGGGAAGAGACAGAUAUAGUGGCAGCGAUAGACAUAGAGACAAGGCUAGAGAUGAUGAGGAUGAUAGGAGCAGUAGAUACCAUAAAUUUGAUGACCGUGAUGAUGUAUACAGUAAUCGUGAUAGGCGCCGUGGUUAUGAUGAAGCAGAAUAUUUCAAGGACCGAAAGAUGAAGCAUGAUCCAUAUGAAGAUAAGGCCACUAAAGAUGAUUCUCUGAAGGAAAAUGAAGAUGCAAUGAAUGGGGAUGAUGAUGACAAGGAUACGCUAGAGUUGAAGCCUGCAGAGCCUGAAGAGGAUGAUAUCGACAGAAUCAAGGAGGAGAGUAGAAGGCGAAGAGAAGCCAUUCUUCAAAAAUAUAAAGCUAAACAAUCGCAGCAGCAGCAGGCUGUGCCUCAAGUCUCUAAAGAUGAGGAACUGACGAAGCAGCCUUCCCUUAAGUUGUCUUCUGCAAGCACUGGUCAAAAAGAAAAUAAUGGUGCUAAGGGUGAUGCUAACAAGAAUUCUGUAGAUGAUACUUCCUUAUACUUGGGGAAAUCUGCUCCUGGAAAUGACUCAGCUGCUGCUGAAAGGAAUACUGUUAUGCUGGGGGAGGGUUCUCCUAAGAGUGAAAGGUCAAAUGAUAUGUUCUGUGAUGAUAUAUUUGGAGAUUCUCCUGCUGGAGUUCGUAAAAUGGGUAAGGGAGAUGGUCUGCCUCUUGAAAGGAGUGGUCUUAAUGAUAAUUGGGAUGAUCCAGAGGGAUAUUACAGUUUUCGAUUUGGUGAAGUACUUGAUAGUCGCUAUGAAAUCACGGCAGCACAUGGUAAAGGUGUAUUUUCCACUGUUGUUCGUGCAAAGGAUCUUAAAGCUGGAAGUGGGGAUCCAGAGGAAGUGGCUAUCAAAAUAAUUCGAAAUAAUGAAACUAUGUUAAAAGCAGGGACAGAAGAGCUAGUGAUUUUGAAGAAGCUAGUUGGUGCAGAUCCCGAUGAUCGCCGACAUUGUGUUCGUUAUCUUUCAAAUUUCAAGUACCGUAAUCAUCUCUGUAUAGUUUUUGAAUCUCUUCAUAUGAAUCUGCGUGAGGUUCUAAAGAAGUUUGGUCGUAAUAUUGGCCUUAAGCUUACUGCUGUGAGGACCUAUGCGAAGCAAUUGUUUAUUGCGUUGAAGCAUCUUAGAAAUUGCGGAGUUCUACAUUGUGACAUUAAACCAGAUAAUAUGCUGGUCAAUGAAUCUAAAAAUGUGCUGAAGCUUUGUGACUUUGGAAAUGCAAUGUUCGCUGGUAAAAAUGAAAUCACGCCGUACCUUGUGAGCCGUUUUUAUCGUGCACCUGAGAUUAUUCUCGGCUUGACCUAUGACCACCCCAUGGACAUUUGGUCAGUUGGUUGCUGUUUAUAUGAGUUGUAUACUGGAAAGGUUCUCUUUCCAGGCCCCUCAAACAAUGAUAUGCUUCGUCUUCACAUGGAAUUGAAGGGUCCUUUCCCAAAGAAGAUGCUUCGCAAGGGAGCUUUCAUUGAGCAACAUUUUGACCAGGAUUUAAAUUUUCUUGCGUUAGAAGAAGAUCCUGUCACUAAGAAGACUCUUAGGAAGGUGAUCGUUAAUAUUAAGCCAAAAGAUGUUGGUAACAUCAUUAGGGGUUUUUCUGGUGAAGAUCCAAAAAUGUUAGCCAACUUCAAGGAUCUGCUGGAAAAAAUAUUUGUCCUAGAUCCAGAUAAAAGGCUAACUGUUUCACAAGCUUUGAAUCACCCAUUUAUUACGGCAAGUGAAUUCAGAUGCUGAUUUUCUGACUCCACAAAUGCUGUAGCUCUAGAUUUUUGUAUAUUACGGUCUUAGUUUAUAUCACACUCUAAUCAUUGGGAAUUUACUGUCUAUCUUUUAUGCACUACUGUGGGCCUGAUUGGGGGAGAUUGAUUCUGGCGUCAUUCAAGUUGGACUCAGAAGGCUGAUAUCUGUUGGGAGGUACUGGCAGUUCUCAAUGGAAUGUGUUCUGUUUCUAUUGGAUUUUCCAGUUCUUGGGGGAACCCUCCAAUCUUUAUAUGCCUAGAAGGAACCAUGGAGAAGGUACCUUUGUUGUUUACUGGGAUCGUUACUUUGAUACCCUUGUUAGUUUGACUCAUGAGCUAGUCAUGGAUUGCCCUUGUUAAUAAACCUGAAGAUUGAAUUUAUUUGUUACAUGAAAAUUAUUUCGUGACAGUUUUGUGUUUUGCUUAAGUGGCCUAACACCCCAAAAUAGCUCAUCUGAUUUCUCUAUUGUUAAGUUUCAUUGUGCAUUUUAUUUUCUUGGCUUUGUUAUUUUCGUCGAGAUUAUGAUUCCUUUUUCAUUCUUUUUUCCCUCUUCAUGUCUGUAUUGUUCUAAUGAAUGUACUACAUCUGCUUUAUGGCUGGUCAUUAUGGAGGCUUUGGCUUUGAAGAUGUCUGGUGCUGCUGCUUGGAAAUUUUUGCAGGAAAUGAUCCUUGCUCCUGCAACACUCUUUGCCGGGGCGUUCUAGGCUUUGGAUUUCUUCUUUUUUUUGUUGUACUACGUGUAUGAUACUUCUGCAGGGUCUAGGAGAAGCCGAGAAGCACUGCUGUGGCAAAUACCCUGAAUAUCUUGUGAUUGUUGUUUUUUUUGUUAGUAACUUUGUGGGUUCUUUGCUUGGUUUAGAUUGUGGAUUGAAAUUUUGGUUAAGAUAUAUUUUUGCCCCAUGUUUUGGUAUGCUUUGAGUUUUGCCAAGGAGGAUAAUGAUAUAAUUUAGUCAGACGUGUGUUAUGUUUGAGCUGGUGACCCACUAUCUUCCUGCUAGUUUUCAUUCUGAACUUAGAUACCAUAGUUCAUUAGUUUUGGACUGUUGAUAUUUUUUAACCAUUGAAGGCAAAAGAGAUUUUUAAUUUCAAAAUCUUGGGUGUGUGUGUUUGUCUGUUGUCUAUGUGUGCAUUCCAUGAAAUUGGAUAACUUGAUUAUUUUGAUCUGUAAAAAUAGAACCAAGUGUUCAGAAUGUUACAGCAUUCUAGUAGACUGGAAUUCUAGUAGACUAUUGGUAAAAAGAAAACCAAGUUGGCAGCAUGUUAGUCAAGGUAUAACAUAUCUUUAUCUGACCUAAGCUUGUAGAUUCUUCUUUUGAAUAUGUAUUGUGCUGUAGAAGUGGUUGGCAUAGAACAGCUGCUACUAUGAAAUCUUUUGUUUUUAGUGUACAAGCUCUAAUAUGGAAUAUUGACUUGUGCAUAUGGUGUUGUGAAGGCACCACCAUACGAAAUAGAGUAGAACAAGGAAAAUAACUGAAGCUCUGGAACUAUAUGUUUAGAAUUGGUUGUAGUAAAAAUGUUUUCAGUGAUGCAUGUUGACUGAGUUGGUGGGGGUCCUGUGUUCAGUUCUAAUUUUCAUACUGUUAGAGGAAUAUUGCUAAGGGCUUUGGGCCUUUAUUUAUUUAUUUAUUAGAUAAGUAAUUUUCUAUUAAUCCAUUUAAGUAUAUAAGUAAUUUCAGUCAAUGAAAUACAGCUGUUAUUAGUAAAUAAUUAGUUUAAUUAAGUGAAAAGUUAUAAUCAGCAAUUUUAGCAACUUGAACUAUCAAUGAAGGAUGUAUUAGUUACUUGUGGUGUAAAAGGAGAAACUGUAUUUCUUUAUAGAGGAAUACUAGGUUAAGUCCCGUGCCAUGCACGGUCAUAAUUAAAUUUUACAAUAAAUAAAUAAUAAAUAUGGUGUUAAUUCAACAAUAAUUUAUCCAAAAAAAUUAUUUGUAACAAAAUAACUUAAAUUAAAUGUAAAGAUUAUUAGAUUGGAUUGUAUAAAAAAAAUAUAGUAAUAGAAACUUAGAAGAUAAAAGGUUUUAUAUAAGAAAAUUAAAUUAUUAGCUAUAUUUAGUCCUAAGGGAAGUAGUAUUAAUCAUAUGCAUUUGUCCUUAAAUUUGACACACUUUGAUCGGCAUAAUAUGAAAAUUUAUUUGAGUUCAUUUUACUUUAGGAUAAUUAGAAUUCUGUAAUCAACUUUUUAAAUAUAUUUUUAGUGAGUAGUAGGUUAUUUUUUUUAAAUAAAAAAAAUAAUCACAUAAAUGUUUAGAACAAUUAGAUUUAAUUUUCCAAUAUAUAUUAUGUACAAAGUAUACUAUAACAAAAUUAUUUUGUUCUUAUAAACGUUAUGUAUAGUUUUAAGAUUAAUACUCCGUACAAAAUAUGCUACCAAAAUGAUUUUUCUGUAAAAUUGAUAUUGAUAAUAUUAUAAUAAUCUUGGAAAACGAUAUAUAUUCCAAUACCUUAUUUUUUUAAAUCUAUGUUAGUAUUUUGUAAUUAAAAGUUUCCUAGUAUGUAGAGAAUAUUUGUAAAUAAAUAUUAAUUGAGUAAUACUGGAUUAAAUAUGUUGUCAAAAUAGAAAUGACAAUUAUUAUAGGUUAUAAAAUAUAUAGAUGUCAUUAAAAUAUGGCAAAAAAAUUAAAAAGGAAAGAAAAAAAAAGGCGGGAAAAUUUUUGACCAGGAAAUGACAAGUGUCAUUCCUGGUUUCAUCUUUAGUAUAAGUUUAUUGAUAAAAGGUAGUAGUUUCACAUUUUAUAUUCGUGGAAUUAUCCAUCAUAAUCUUUUUUCUUUCUUUUUUUUUCUUUUUCUUUUUUAGAAACAAUAUCAUAUUCUAUUUAUUUAUUCUUCGUAUAUUUAUUUUUAUUUAAUUAAUUUUUAUCAUGUAGCCGACCCCAUUUGUGGGAUAAAAGGCUUUGAUUAAUUGAUUUGAUUUUAUGAUUUUUUUUUUCAUUGUUUUUUUUGUAAAUAUUUCUUAUUAUUAAAUUGUCACUCAAUUAAGCACAGGUCAUUUCAGAGAUAAGAAAACUCUUCUUUAGAGUAGUGUUUUAGAGUAAUGGUCGUAUAUAUUUAAAUUUUCUACUUAUAUUGAAAAUUUCUACCUUUGCCAAUCUUCAAUGGCCUGCAAUCAUGCUUGGCUGAACACUAGAUGCUUGUGAGAGUUUUAGCAAGUGGUAAUAUCUUUGUGUCUUCUGAUUGUGCCAUUUGUUCGGGCCAUUUGUUCAUUUUUUAUUAUAACUUGAAGGUUUUGGUAUAUUUUAGAAGUACUGAUUGUAACAUACAAACAUAUGGAUUCCUGGAGUGAUUGUUAUAGAAAAUAAUGAAAGUUACAUUCUUUUGAGUUCUUAAUCCUGAA